CAGGCUUAACACAUGCAAGUCGAGGGGCAUCAGGAAGAAAGCUUGCUUUCUUUGCUGGCGACCGGCGCACGGGUGAGUAACACGUAUCCAACCUGCCCUUUACUCGGGGAUAGCCUUUCGAAAGAAAGAUUAAUACCCGAUAGCAUAAUGAUUCCGCAUGGUUUCAUUAUUAAAGGAUUCCGGUAAAGGAUGGGGAUGCGUUCCAUUAGGUUGUUGGUGAGGUAACGGCCCACCAAGCCUUCGAUGGAUAGGGGUUCUGAGAGGAAGGUCCCCCACAUUGGAACUGAGGCACGGUCCAAACUCCUACGGGAGGCAGCAGUGAGGAAUAUUGGUCAAUGGGCGCUAGCCUGAACCAGCCAAGUAGCGUGAAGGAUGAAGGCUCUAUGGGUCGUAAACUUCUUUUAUAUAAGAAUAAAGUGCAGUAUGUAUACUGUUUUGUAUGUAUUAUAUGAAUAAGGAUCGGCUAACUCCGUGCCAGCAGCCGCGGUAAUACGGAGGAUCCGAGCGUUAUCCGGAUUUAUUGGGUUUAAAGGGAGCGUAGGUGGACUGGUAAGUCAGUUGUGAAAGUUUGCGGCUCAACCGUAAAAUUGCAGUUGAUACUGUCAGUCUUGAGUACAGUAGAGGUGGGCGGAAUUCGUGGUGUAGCGGUGAAAUGCUUAGAUAUCACGAAGAACUCCGAUUGCGAAGGCAGCUCACUGGACUGCAACUGACACUGAUGCUCGAAAGUGUGGGUAUCAAACAGGAUUAGAUACCCUGGUAGUCCACACAGUAAACGAUGAAUACUCGCUGUUUGCGAUAUACAGUAAGCGGCCAAGCGAAAGCAUUAAGUAUUCCACCUGGGGAGUACGCCGGCAACGGUGAAACUCAAAGGAAUUGACGGGGGCCCGCACAAGCGGAGGAACAUGUGGUUUAAUUCGAUGAUACGCGAGGAACCUUACCCGGGCUUAAAUUGCAGUGGAAUGAUGUGGAAACAUGUCAGUGAGCAAUCACCGCUGUGAAGGUGCUGCAUGGUUGUCGUCAGCUCGUGCCGUGAGGUGUCGGCUUAAGUGCCAUAACGAGCGCAACCCUUAUCUUUAGUUACUAACAGGUUAUGCUGAGGACUCUAGAGAGACUGCCGUCGUAAGAUGUGAGGAAGGUGGGGAUGACGUCAAAUCAGCACGGCCCUUACGUCCGGGGCUACACACGUGUUACAAUGGGGGGUACAGAAGGCAGCUAGCGGGUGACCGUAUGCUAAUCCCAAAAUCCUCUCUCAGUUCGGAUCGAAGUCUGCAACCCGACUUCGUGAAGCUGGAUUCGCUAGUAAUCGCGCAUCAGCCACGGCGCGGUGAAUACGUUCCCGGGCCUUGUACACACCGCCCGUCAAGCCAUGGGAGCCGGGGGUACCUGAAGUACGUAACCGCAAGGAUCGUCCUAGGGUAAAACUGGUGACUGGGGCUAAGUCAUA
rnacentral:rRNA from 1 species